UGGGGAAUAUUGGGCAAUGGGCGCAAGCCUGACCCAGCCAUGCCGCGUGAGUGAUGAAGGCUUUCGGGUCGUAAAGCUCUGUGGGGAGGGAAGAAAUACCCUGGGUAAAUAAUCCAGGGAACUGACGGUACCUCCUUAGCAAGCACCGGCUAACUCCGUGCCAGCAGCCGCGGUAAUACGGAGGGUGCAAACGUUGCUCGGAAUCAUUGGGCGUAAAGCGCACGUAGGCGGUUCGUUAAGUCGGGUGUGAAAGCCCUGGGCUCAACCCAGGAAGUGCAUCCGAAACUGGCGAGCUGGAGUAUGGAAGAGGGUCGCGGAAUUCCCGGUGUAGAGGUGAAAUUCGUAGAUAUCGGGAGGAACACCAGUGGCGAAGGCGGCGACCUGGGCCAAUACUGACGCUGAGGUGCGAAAGCGUGGGGAGCAAACAGG
rnacentral:rRNA from 1 species